rnacentral:lncRNA from 1 species
GGGGAGCUUGAAGUUCGGAGGGAUCGGUUCCUACAUAAUCAUUUGAGAAAAAGGAGGGUCACUACAGAUAUCUUUACCGUAAGCAGGUGGAGCAUGGCGGAGCUCCUCGAUCUGCCAGUUCAUCUCUUGGAACCUUUGAUCCAGAAGAUCCUCUCGAUCACAAAUCUCGUGGGUCUUCUGGCAGAAUAGUGGUAGGGACC